AGCCAUUUCAUUCUUUGAGAUCUCUACUUCCUUCAAAAGUUCAUCUUUCUCCGAUAAUUUCUUUUGCAAAUCCUCCACUUGCCCCCUCAAAGCCAUCAAUUCUUCUCUAUCUUUUUCUGAUAAAUACGAUCUUGAGGAAGGCAUUGAAAUGUUAUCAGAGCAUCCAUCUUGGUCAGCACCAACAUUUUUAUUUUGGUCCCUAUGUUUUUUGUUUGAUUGAGCUGCAUUCUUUCCCUUUGUUUCAGAAGUCUUCUUGUAAAGAGACUCCCUUGAAGGCGUUUUAGUGUAGGUCAUUGAUCCCCUUCUAGUAAAUGACGACUUCGCCUUUCGAUCAAUGAGAGAUUGAACAAGAGGGACGAUCUGGACGAGGUCAUUAAAGAGGGUACGGUCAACAGUUCCGGCAGCCGAAUUAGAGAGAGAAGAAUCAGUUCGCCGGAGUGUAGGAGAGCGGUCCUCGCCGGAAAGCCAAGAACUGGAGUCAGCUCCGGCACCGAAACCGCCAUUGUUGUCCUGCAAAUCUAGCAACUGCUGAGGCUCAUACAUUGUCG
rnacentral:misc_RNA from 1 species